UACGUAGGGUGCAAGCGUUAAUCGGAAUUACUGGGCGUAAAGCGUGCGCAGGCGGUUGUGCAAGACAGAUGUGAAAUCCCCGGGCUUAACCUGGGAACUGCAUUUGUGACUGCACGGCUAGAGUGCGGCAGAGGGGGAUGGAAUUCCGCGUGUAGCAGUGAAAUGCGUAGAGAUGCGGAGGAACACCGAUGGCGAAGGCAGCCCCCUGGGCUGACACUGACGCUCAGGCGACGAAA
rnacentral:rRNA from 1 species